CUUUGGCUCAGUUUAUGCCGGCCAUAGGAGGUCUGAUGAUUUACUAGUGGCGAUAAAACACAUCCCCUAAUCGUCUGUUCCGCCUCAAAGAGUGAUGUUAAAUGGGAGGCCACACAGUAUUCCCAAGGAGGUGCUGCUCAUGCAGAAAGCUGCAGGCGAACCAAUGACUGUGGGUUAAUGGACUGGUACGAUCUGGACCAAGUGUUUAUACUGGUCAUGGAGAGGUCUAUGGAACUGCUGUGCUUCAUAAAGGAGAACUGUGGUCCGAUGGCCGAGGCUGUUGCAAAGGUACUGUUGUUUUAUUCUUUGUGUGAGCUGUUUCUCAGACUACAA